rnacentral:rRNA from 1 species
AUUGAACGCUGGCGGCAUGCUUUACACAUGCAAGUCGAACGGUAACAGGCCGCAAGGUGCUGACGAGUGGCGAACGGGUGAGUAAUGCAUCGGAACGUGCCCAGUCGUGGGGGAUAACUGCUCGAAAGAGCAGCUAAUACCGCAUACGAUCUAUGGAUGAAAGCGGGGGACCGUAAGGCCUCGCGCGAUUGGAGCGGCCGAUGUCAGAUUAGGUAGUUGGUGGGGUAAAGGCUCACCAAGCCAACGAUCUGUAGCUGGUCUGAGAGGACGACCAGCCACACUGGGACUGAGACACGGCCCAGACUCCUACGGGAGGAAGCAGUGGGGAAUUUUGGACAAUGGGGGCAACCCUGAUCCAGCAAUGCCGCGUGCAGGAAGAAGGCCUUCGGGUUGUAAACUGCUUUUGUACGGAACGAAACGGUCUGGGUUAAUACCCUGGGCUAAUGACGGUACCGUAAGAAUAAGCACCGGCUAACUACGUGCCAGCAGCCGCCGUAACAC